rnacentral:lncRNA from 1 species
GUUCUUAUGUAAGCUUGACAUGACUGGUGUUAUUCUUCAAAUAUGGUGUCAGUUAUUUGUUCAUUUUGCACGUGGUCAACGGCCAAUGAAUAAAUACAGUUAUUGUAAUAUUUGAUAGGGAAACCAAUGUCUUGUUCUCACAGCUAUUACGUGUAUUGCAUUGCAGUUUGAAUUAUAAAUACUUCUCUAAUCAAACUUGAACUUGCUACUUACGGACUGAAAAAAAGGAAUAUUACAUAAGUUUUUUCGGCAUCAUUGAUUAUUUUAUAAUUUUUAUGUAUCACCAUAUAAUGAAUUUCAAAAUGGAUAUUAAUUUAUUUUUCCAUUAAAG